GACCGCGUAGCUCAGUUGGAAGAGCAUUGGGCUAGUAUUCCAAAGGUCGUAGGUUCGAAUCCCGCCGUAGCCA